rnacentral:rRNA from 1 species
UACGUAGGGUGCAAGCGUUGUCCGGAAUUAUUGGGCGUAAAGAGCUCGUAGGCGGUUUGUCGCGUCUGCUGUGAAAAUCCGGGGCUCAACCCCGGACUUGCAGUGGGUACGGGCAGACUAGAGUGUGGUAGGGGAGACUGGAAUUCCUGGUGUAGCGGUGGAAUGCGCAGAUAUCAGGAGGAACACCGAUGGCGAAGGCAGGUCUCUGGGCCACUACUGACGCUGAGAAGCGAAAGCAUGGGGAGCGAACAGG